CCCAGACUCCUACGGGAGGCAGCAGUGGGGAAUAUUGCACAAUGGGGGAAACCCUGAUCCAGCGACGCCGCGUGAGUGAAGAAGUAUUUCGGUACGUAAAGCUCUAUCAGCAGGAAAGAAAAUGACGGUACCUGACUAAGAAGCCCCGGCUAACUACGUGCCAGCAGCCGCGGUAAUACGUAGGGGGCAAGCGUUAUCCGGAUUUACUGGGUGUAAAGGGAGCGUAGACGGCAGCGCAAGUCUGGAGUGAAAUGCCGGGGCCCAACCCCGGAACUGCUCUGGAAACUGUGAAGCUGGAGUGCAGGAGAGGUAAGCGGAAUUCCUGGUGUAGCGGUGAAAUGCGUAGAUAUCAGGAGGAACACCGGCGGCGAAGGCGGCUUACUGGACUGUAACUGACGUUGAGGCUCGAAGGCGUGGGGAGCAAACAGGAUUAGAUACCCGAGUA
rnacentral:rRNA from 1 species